rnacentral:lncRNA from 1 species
GCCUGGGCUUCUAGGGCCUGAUCCGGGAGAAGCUGUGUAGGCCACUGCAUCUCACUAUUUCCCUGGCCUCAGACCUCUGCGCCUUCUCCAUCACAGCAUCCCUCACCCGCUAGGGACAUUUGAGGCAGAGAAUCAAGUCAGGAGCUGUUUCUGACAUCUGGCCCUCUCUAACUUGUCCUGUCAUUUUGGGAAAAUCACUUUUCUGAGCUUCAGUUUCCUUGUCUGUAAAAUGAGAGUGUAUGUCACGUGACUUUCAAAAAGAGUUCCCCAAAAUUCUUUGGGGGAGCUGCUACUGCUGGGUAAUACUAAAUAGGCAGCCCCUUGGCCUCACCUCUUCACUUUCAGUCAGAGCAGUCUGUUUCAUAGUCAUCUAGUGACUAUUGUGUACCCACUGUGUGCUAGGCAGUGUGCUGGACAUAUAAACAGACUUCUCUGAUCUUGGGGAAGGUAUAGUCAACAUAGACAUUAAUAUUGGAAUUGUAAAAAGCACUGUGAAGGAGACGUGCUGAGAGUUUUAUCUGGGAAGCCGAUCAGAUUGGGAGAGGUGGGGAAGCUUUCUGGAGGAAGUGAUGAUGGGCCUGAGGUCGGAAGGCUGAUCAGGAGUUAGUGAGUAUAGAAGACUGAGAUCAGUGUGGCUGGAGCAGAGCGCAGAAGGACAGUGUACUGGGAGAAGACGACAAUAGCGAACAUUUAUGUGGGACGGACCACGUUAUGGUCAUUUAAGCCUUACAACCCUUGGACUGUGACACUCUCCAUUUUACAGAUGAGGAAACUGAGGUUCUGUAAGUUGCCCAAGGUCAUACAAAUAUUAGUGGCAGCACUGGAAUUCAGACCUUGACAUUAUGGAUAAUGGUGAAUGGGUGGUCCCUAGAAUCCUGAAAAGCCACUAGCAGGGAGAAAGAAUGCUCAGACCCGCACUUGGAAAGGCUCCCCCUGGUGGCAGCUUGGAGAAUGGGUUGUAGUGAAGCAAGAACGGAGGCUGUGGUUUCAGUCCGGGCAAGAGGCGUGGCAGUGGGUGGACCCGCCAGGGUGAUGGCGGAGACAUGGAGCCUUGUGGACGGGAUCUGUUUAGGGAUGCUGUUUGAUUGACGAGAUGCCGGAGGCUGCCGUGAAAUCAACAGCCAACAAAUACCAAGUCUUUUUUUUCGGGACCCACGAGACGUGAGUGAGGGA